rnacentral:tRNA from 1 species
GGGGCCGUGGCGCAGUUGGUUAGCGCGCUUUCCUGUCAAGAAAGAGGUCGCGGGUUCGAGUCCCGUCGGCCCCG